GCAGUCGCCGCGGUAAUACAGAGGGUGCGAGCGUUAAUCGGAUUUACUGGGCGUAAAGCGUGCGUAGGCGGCUUCUUAAGUCGGAUGUGAAAUCCCUGAGCUUAACUUAGGAAUUGCAUUCGAUACUGGGAAGCUAGAGUAUGGGAGAGGAUGGUAGAAUUUCAGGUGUAGCGGUGAAAUGCGUAGAGAUCUGGAGGAAUACCGAUGGCGAAGGCAGCCAUCUGGCCUAAUACUGACGCUGAGGUACGAAAGCAUGGGGAGCAAACAGGAUUAGAUACCCGGGUAGUCCCUGUCUCUUAUAC
rnacentral:rRNA from 1 species